AGGCCUCUGCUGCCACUCCCCACGACACUCCGAAGAGGCUGGGUUCUCCGCAGUCAUGGAGAAAUAGGUGGGGCCAUUCCCUCAGAGAGGGAGAAAGAAUGUUGCUUCCUGACUGCACAGAAGGUUGGGGACAGCCAUGAGGAAGUGAACACCAACCCCAGGUUCCAGGUCCUGCAGGUUUCAGAAGUAGGCAUGAAGACCUGGAGCAACUAAUCUAGGGUUGUCCACGGUGCCACUUUAUCUGCGGUACAGUCUAUCACCAACAGCUGCCAGGGGUCUUAGAACCCGGCACAUAGUCGAGAACACCGAACGUGGAAGCAACCUAGAUGUCCCUCACCCGAAGAGUGGAUAGAGAAAAUGUGG